GCGUGCGAGUCUCCGGGUGGGCAACCCGUGGGCGCAAUGAAAGUGAAGGCGGGCUCCGGCCCGCUUGUGGCGAGAGCCCUCGACCCCAUCGGGGGCGCAUCGUCGACCGAUCCCAACGUCACGCUGUGGCGGGAUUUGAGUGAGAGCGUGCCUGUUGCGACCCGAAAGAUGGUGAACUAUGCCUGAAUAGGGUGAAGCCAGAAGAAAUUCUGGUGGAAGCUCGCAGCGAUUCUGACGUGCAAAUCGAUCGUCAAAUUUGGGUAUAGGGGCGAAAGACUAAUCGAACCAUCUAGUAGCUGGUUCCCUCCGAAGUUUCCCUCAGGAUAGCUGGAGCCCGGUGCAGUUUUAUCAGGUAAAGCGAAUGAUUAGAGGUCUUGGGGCUGAAACAGCUUCAACCUAUUCUCAAACUUUAAAUGGGUAAGAAGCCCGGCUUGCUUGGCUGAAGUCGGGCGCAGAAUGCCGGGGCUCCCAGUGGGCCAUUUUUGGUAAGCAGAACUGGCGAUGUGGGAUGAACCAAAUGUCGGGUUAAGGUGCCUGAAUCGACGCUCAUCAGAUCCCAUGAAAGGU
rnacentral:rRNA from 1 species